UUAGACUCAGUAACUCCUACGUGGCUAAAAUGAAUACAUUUUUGUACGUACUGACGGCUAAACGCAUUAGGGAAAGCCACAGAGUUCCUCCACCCCGGAAGCACAGUGAGGAUGCCUGGGAGCAAGGUGGGAUUACAAGUGCGGAUUUGAAUACCAGAGUGAGAGCUGGGAAUCCAGAGAGCAGGAUCGAGAGGCCGGAGACAGCGCCCCGAACAGCAGAACAAAGUAGCGAUGGGCUCAUCUAUAUUGCUGCAAAUGACAGCACCUGAUUCUCACUGCAGAUCUGCUAAAAGCAACCAGCAGUACCCAAGCAACAGCCGCCUGAACACUGGUCUGCCUUGAAAUUUCCUCCACCAGCUCAAUUAAUCCAUCACUGUCAAUCACAGUCUCCCACAAAGUCUUAGGACAUGAGCAAAAGGUCCUCUGCAGACUGGAUGACACCAAUCUACAAUGGCGAGGUUGGGUCUUUUUUACUCAGUCUCCUGAUUCAAACACCUAAUUUUUCCUGGAACAACCAUAGAGACACAUUCAUAUAGAGUCUCAAGUAAACACAAAAAAUUAACCAUUGUAAUAACUAGCCUUAAGACUUUAGGAACACAAAGUAUUUUAAGAUGGGAGUAUGUCUUCUUAUAAUAUUCAUUAUGAGAGACAAUAUAAGGAAAAAAUACUUGAAGAAGUAUCAUU